rnacentral:rRNA from 1 species
AGUGGAUUACAACGUUGCUUUUGUCCUUCUUGGUUUAAGGAUUACAAGUGGCUUGAGUAUAGUGUGAACAAAGAGGUUGCUUUCUGCUUUGUUUGCUAUUUGUUCAAGGAUAAAACAAAAAGCCCCGGUGGAGAUUCAUUUGUUAAGGGUGGGUUUAGAAACUGGAACAUGAAAGCAAGAUUGACAAGGCAUGUUGGUGAUGUAAGUAGUGCUCACGCUGAAGCUCAAGAGAAGUAUGAUAUGUUCACUACACCACAAACAUCAAUUCAGGAGUCUGUUGCUUCCAACACCUCACAAUACAAGGCUUUCUAUAAAAAAAACGUUUGA